rnacentral:lncRNA from 1 species
GCAAUGCUGUACCGGUACAGACAUCACCCUGUACCGGUACACAAUGCAAAUGCUGCUCCUGACAGCAGCUCACAGCAGCAGCUCUCCCAGCCAUUUUCUCACAUUUAGCUCAAUUCCUUUUUUACCCAAACACUUCUAAAACAUGCCAAGAAACCUUUCCAAGCUACCAAAUUAAUUUGAAACCAUUUCAUUUCCAAUUUGGUACAAUUUUGAUCAAUUUCAUCAGGAUUAAUUAAAAAUUUCAGCAUUUUCCUGGCAGUAGUAUUACUUGAUAGUCUUGGCACUUCCGAUUCACUUCGAGCCCACUUACACAGUUCCAAAAUAAGUCAAUUGUUGUUCUCAAGCUACUAAUUAAGUUCAUUAACACUUAAUUUCUAUUUUGACAUCAUUGUGAUCAACUUGAUUACAAUUAGCUCAAGGUCAAUUUUCCAAUGCGUUACAAUCUCCCCUCCUUAAAUAGUUUCGUCCUCGAAACUAAAAUUCAUACCUCAAUCUUCUUGAUCAAAUAGAUGGGGAUAAAGUUCUCAUAUGGCUUAUUCCAAUUCCCAAGUGACUUCUCGUCUCGAGUGAUUGUUCCAUUGCAUGUUCACAUAAGGAAUGGUGCGAUUUCGUAAUUUUCGCACUUCACGAUCAAGAAUACAUACUGGAUAUUCUUUAUAUGUCAUAUUCUCUUGCAAAUCCGCUGGCUCGUACUCCAGAAUAUGCCCUGAAUGAUGUCACCUAUUUAUGGAGAUUCGAAACAUGAAACAUAUUGUGUAUUCCUUCGAACUUCGGUGGCAAAGCCAAUCGAUAGGCUACUGCUUCAACUCGUUCUAGGAUCCCGUAAGGUCCAAUGUAUUGAGGACUAAACUUUCCUCGAACACCAAAUCUUUUUUUCUUUUUCUUUUUCUUUUUUUUUUUUUAUCCCGCGCAUUGGCGAUACCCUAAAGAAUACUGAAUCGCCCACAACAAACUCCAAGUUCUUUUGGCACUUAUUGGCAUAACUUUGUUGCCGUGACUGAGCUGUCAACAAUCUCUGGCGGACUAGGCGUACCUUUUCUUCCACUUCUUGGAGCACAUCAGGACCAAGUAUCAGUUUUUUUUUUCCUACUUCACUCCAAUGAAUAGGAGAUCGAUCAAAGCUUCAAUUGGUGUCAUUUCGAUAUUUUUUUUUUUUUGAUAACUGUUAUUAUAUGCAGCUUGGCCAUUGCCAAGAAUUCAUGCCAACUUCCUCUAAACUCUUCCAAAAGCGAGAUAUAAACCGUGGAUCUCGAUCAGAUACAAUUGACGUCGAGACUUCGUGUGAUCUCACGAUCUCGGGUAACCACUUGUAUUCAUUCUCGUAAUAUAAUUAAUCCCGCACAUCCAGGAUAUACCCUGUUCUUUCCAAUCUUAUUAUUCAAGUCUCCAUGUCUCAACAGCAAUGUAAGUCAAUUUCUAUGACUUACUAUACUCCAAGAUCUUUUACUAUCAAAUGUUUAUUUGACUUGGUUACCACACCAAUUCAAUCCUCACCUAAAUGAUAUGCUUUAGAAUUAGCAUUCUCCUCAUACAAUUAGCGACUACCCGCACCAUCAACUUAACAUGCCUGUAUCAUCAUUCUUAUCAUCAACAGAUGAUAACCAAUUCAUACCAAUAAGCAUCAUUUUACUUCAAAGAAUAACACUAUCUGUUUUUCUCACGGUGGGGAUCAUUCCUGUAUGGCGCUUACUCGAUUCAUAUAUGAACUUAGUCUGUAGACUACCUUGACUCAUAUAUAAACUUAUCAAGUAACAUCCACUAUACCCAUUACUCUCUGGUGAAGUCUAUUUCGACUCUCAACUGACAUCACUACCUGCGAUUUUGCAAUACCCUGCUCAAUUGUGUGUUUAAUCCCACACAAUUUCCGUUCCUCGUCCAAAAGGUUCAUUCUCAUCUUCACACUCUAAUGAUCUGAAGACAUAAUCCUCCAACAUUUCACGUGGCUUCCACUACACACUAAUCUCAAAGAAAACCUUUUACUUUUCCGGCCACGUUCACAAUAUAUCAAUCUCUCGCCACGAGUUUCCACGAACACCUCGUUCGUGCUUCUAAUCUCAAUUUCUCAUCGGCGCCUAACUCGGCGGUUCAAAAUAGGCAAAUAGUAGGACCGAGCCUCCGCUCCUAAGGUCACUAUCCUCAAUUUCUCUUUAUCCUUUGAUGCUACCAGCCACGAUCAAUGUCCAUUCGUUCUUGCAACGAAUUUAUACGAACCCGCCAUUCAUGGUUCAGGCCAAAACUCGCUAACAGAGUUAUUGGCCGCACCGACCAUCGGUUUCCACAGGUGGACCAAGGGCCACCAAUCCUACGUAGGCCUACAGCCUAAAUCGAUCUCAACGACGCCUAGCGUCUCUCGCUCGCAAGCGCAAACCCAAUCAUCAUCGGGCGACAUUCUCGUUGGAGAAUUCGCACACACUCCAACUAGGAGCAACCAAGACCCCAAACCACGUCAAGUCCUCGGGUUGGGUCGCUAUACACUCUGUGUGUCCUCGAUCUCACGAUCUAACACGUGGCACUCCACGUACUUGGGUUCAAGCUCGGACUACCGUCCUGACCAAAUCUUUGCCCUACCCGUAGGUAUCGGGCCGCUGCCUCUCGCAGCUGACUGCGCCUGCCCAAUGGGCCCAGGCUCCACAGUUCACAAAGGGUCCAGGCACGGGUCGUCACCAAGCACUACCCGCCGUCGUCGUCCUACACGACAUGCUCUACAGGGCUACACACUCUAGCGGCUCAUAAGCACCAAGUGCGAGCCAACAGUCCUACGAGUGAUCCAUGGCACGCUUCACACUUAGUAACGCUCGAGUGUUACUGCCAACACACUCCCCGGCUAAAUCAUAAUCCACAUUCUACGGACAGCUAACUCAAGUGUCCAACAUUAUCGCGUCUCUCACUAGAUAUUACACGUUAGGCAACUCAGCCUACGUCUCGAAUACGCAAACACAAAUUCCCUCAACUUAAUUGAGGUACAACUCAACUAACUCGCCAAAACCAGGCGAUCAUCUAACCAACAAUUCACUCGCCAAAACUAGGCGAUCAUCUAGCCAUUCGACAACAACGACGCUAUUAACAUUACACAAUCCCUCGGAAUAUCAUCCGAAUUCUCGAACUCUAGAGCGUCUUCUGACGUUCUAAUUUAAUUCUCAUUACCACCCGAAUGGUUUAAAGAGUAGGUCCACCAUUUACAUCUUCAUCCCGAGCCCCAACUUUGGCUCACAGCAACUACUUACUAGCACUAUCCAUCCGCCUAUUCAAACGAUAGGCAAUACACUUUCUUUGUCUACUCACGCUAGGGUAUUAUAUCUCCCCAAAUCUAAGUCUCUAUCACAUUCUUGUGUGUACCGCUCGGAGUUCGCAUCAUUUUCAAGUAUACAAUCUUCUUACUGAAGUCAAUUUACUACCACUUCACUUAUCCAAUAAUACACACGGCCUUGCCGGUGAAAGUUAUCACUACCAUUGCUCUUGAAAAAACAAGUCAAUCAACAGACCUUUCCAAAUUCUAGGAUGACGACUGCAAUUCUCUUCCGGGUGUCGCUUAACACUCGAUUGACCACCCAAACCAUACAUCAGUUGCUUAUCCUUCAUUCUCACUAAUUAAUUCGCACCCCUUCCGUACGAGAUAUCACUUAACAUCAACCACAAGGUUCGGUCCACUACCUCAUCAGGAGUUCGUAGAUUAGGGAAGCGUAUAGCUUUGACACCUUUUCUGUCGAAGUUUCCAUAUUUCAUAAUCGGCCUUGUUUCUAAUAUUUCACACUGUGUACUGAUCACCACUUAGCAUGUAGAAAAUCUUUCUACAUACUUUUCACUGAACAGGCACCCUACUAUAGUCCCCAUGACUUAUCUUGAAAUUCACCAGUUGUUUAUUCCCAUAACAACUCUAUAUCCUAUCCUCGAUACAUAAAUCCUUCCAGGGAAGAAUUUCCCUAAAGCAAAAUUAUAGAUUCUCGACUCAUGAAUAUUCCUUCAUCCACAGCAAAUGGACUAUACUUUCCUGAAGGCCACAAAGGUUAUCCAACUACUCCACAGUCCUCUGGAGUCCAUUGUCUCAAUCCACCAAAUACACUACAGCCUCUCGCUGACAUUGAACUACGACUAUUCAUCGUCACAACCCUACCACGGUGUGACUAACUGACCCCAAAGCUUCAAGUUUCCUUCAGGCUCGGUCAGUUCAAAGAUUCCACUUAUCUCGAACCACAACGAUCUCAUUAGAGAUCAACUACUCAAGACCACUAAACAUGUAACAACGCGACCAAUUCUUGACCUUCAAGGUCAAACAUGAAACAACUAUGUCAACCCAACUCAAAUCAGGCGAAAGUCAUACAAGGAAGCCUAUUCUCAUCACUCGGUUUCAUGUUGUGUGCACCCAACAUGAACACUCCCUGCUGAGAAUACACGAUUCCUUGAAUCUACCUCUAAGAUCCUUUAUAGAGGUAUACAACACACAACCCAAUCGGUUUAACCUUUCGCCACUUACCAAGAUUCUCGUCUCUCACGAACCUAGAUCCUUAUGGUUUUCCAUCCUAAGGUCCCUAGGUCCAUCCUAGACUUUUACUAUCACUUGCUCUGAUACCACUCUAUCUGAUUUGGAGGCUUCCCGAGGAUCUCCUUCAGCUUUACAAAGUUUCUUCAGCUAAUUCUCUGGUCUAUUUACCCGAGAUGUCAACUCGGCAACUCGAAAGAUCAAGGCUGCCAUCAAUUUUCUUAACUAUAAAUCCUGGCAGCAAUUACUUAAUUAUUACUCUUAACCCUUCUUUAGAUAAAUCACUUAAGUGUAACUAAAUACCAAGAUAAACUUACCUUAUCUUGAUAUAAAUCCAGAUUGCUCUCAGCUCACUUCUUCUUUUCCUCAGCUGAAAUUCCACCCAGCUGCCAACACUACUUCAGGUUUCCACUAGCCUAGAGAGAGAGAAAGAGAAGAAAAUAGAUGAUAAGGAGAGAAGAGAAAUGGAAUCUCUGCUCUUGGACAGGUGUAUUCCACCAGGGUUAAGUUGAUAAGGUUGGAAAAAUACAGUUUGGCCCACUAUUUCAGAGAAAUUACCUUGCUGUCCAGAGGUGGCCGCAAUGCUGUACCGGUACAGACAUCACCCUGUACCGGUACACAAUGCAAAUGCUGCUCCUGACAGCAGCUCACAGCAGCAGCUCUCCCAGCCAUUUUCUCACAUUUAGCUCAAUUCCUUUUUUACCCAAACACUUCUAAAACAUGCCAAGAAACCUUUCCAAGCUACCAAAUUAAUUUGAAACCAUUUCAUUUCCAAUUUGGUACAAUUUUGAUCAAUUUCAUCAGGAUUAAUUAAAAAUUUCAGCAUUU